rnacentral:rRNA from 1 species
GGGGCGAGCGUUGUCCGGAAUCAUUGGGCGUAAAGGGCGCGUAGGCGGUUUUGUAAGUCGGGUGUUAAAACUAUCCGCUCAACGGGUAGCUGCAUCCGAAACUGCUUAACUAGAGAAUGGUAGAGGAAAGCGGAACUUCCGGCGUAGCGGUGAAAUGCGUAGAUAUCGGAAGGAACACCAGUGGCGAAGGCGGCUUUCUGGGCCAUUUCUGACGCUGAGGCGCGAAAGCUAGGGGAGCAAACGGGAUUAGAUACCCCGGUAGUCCUAGCCCUAAACGAUGUUCACUAGGUGCUAAAGGUAUCGACCCCUUUAGUGCCGCAGCUAACGCGUUAAGUGAACCGCCUGGGAAUUACGAUCGCAAGAUUAAAACUCAAAGGAAUUGACGG